CGUUUUCCUGAACUCCUAACCUCAGUCAAUACUGCCUCGGGACCUGGCGCUGCCUGGGAGAUCCAGAAGAAAGGAAGCAUCUUGGCCCCUGCCUUGGGGGCGACACGACCGUCCCCAAACACAGCGAGUCACUGGCCUGGGUCUUUGUGCAGAGGCCCCUCUAGGAGCGGGGAACCAACGAUGGCACGAACAUUGAUUUGAGGAGGAUGCUUCGCAGUUUACGAAAAAAUGAGUGCUAGAGGCGUUCAGAAACGGGAAAGAUCACUUUGUGCUCCUGUGAUCUGAAGGCUGCGUGAAGAAGAUGAGGCUUGGAAAAUAGGACUUACCACAUUACAGGACAGACCACAGUGCAUGUCUGUCUGCUCCAACAGAAGUGGCUUUCUUGAGGGAAGGAAUUCUGCCUUGUUCAACUUUAUAUUCCCCCACAGUGCCUUGCAGAAAGUAGGAGCCCAGAAAAUGUGUAUUGAAUUGCUCAGAAUUGUGUGGUGAGGUAGAAAGUAUUGCUUAAUCUCUCCGAGACCUCAAUUUCCUUAUUUGUAAAUUAAACUGCUGAUUAAUUUCUAAAGUUCUUUUGAGUUACAGAAUUCUGUUACCCAACAAGGUUUCAGAGAUUGAGAAGAUUGAAUUAUUUGAUUUCUAAAUUCUUUUUCAACUUCAAUAUUAAAUGAUUUUAUA
rnacentral:lncRNA from 1 species